rnacentral:rRNA from 1 species
UAGGGAAUAUUCCGCAAUGGGCGAAAGCCUGACGGAGCAACGCCGCGUGAGUGAUGAAGGUCUUCGGAUCGUAAAACUCUGUUAUUAGGGAAGAACAAAUGUGUAAGUAACUAUGCACGUCUUGACGGUACCUAAUCAGAAAGCCACGGCUAACUACGUGCCAGCAGCCGCGGUAAUACGUAGGUGGCAAGCGUUAUCCGGAAUUAUUGGGCGUAAAGCGCGCGUAGGCGGUUUUUUAAGUCUGAUGUGAAAGCCCACGGCUCAACCGUGGAGGGUCAUUGGAAACUGGAAAACUUGAGUUCACAAGCUGAAAGUGGAAUUCCAUGUGUAGCGGUGAAAUGCGCAGAGAUAUGGAGGAACACCAGUGGCGAAGGCGACUUUCUGGUCUGUAACUGACGCUGAUGUGCUCAAGCGUGGGGAUCAAACAGG